CAUAUCAUUUGAAAACGUAGACAGUCCAAGGUAUUCAAAAUGGGGUAUAUGUCCAGUGUUUUGUAGUAGCCACUUAGUCACACUGGCCAAAGUUAGCAUUUAUAUUUGUUUGUGUGUGGAAAAUGCAAAAAACUAAUAUGAACGCUAACUUUGGCCAGUGUUUUUGUGACUAAGUGGCUACUAGAAAAAAACUGGACAUACCCUAAUUGCAAUACCUUGGGUUGUCUACUUUUGCAAAUGGUAUG